rnacentral:rRNA from 1 species
UACGUAGGGGGCAAGGCGUUGUCCGGAUUUAUUGGGCGUAAAGAGCGUGUAGGCGGCCAAGCAGGUCAGCUGUGAAAACUCGAGGCUCAACCUCGAGACGUCGGUUGAAACCGCUUGGCUAGAGUCCGGAAGAGGAGAGUGGAAUUCCCGGUGUAGCGGUGAAAUGCGCAGAUAUCGGGAAGAACACCCGUGGCGAAGGCGGCUCUCUGGGACGGUACUGACGCUGAGACGCGAAAGCGUGGGGAGCGAACAGG